rnacentral:lncRNA from 1 species
GACAAUGUAAAACAAUUCAAACGAGAAAACUAACGGCCUUAUUUAUGUAAAAAAAUGAACGAAAAACAAAUAUGUAACACACAAACAAACGACAACCACUGAAUUACAGGCUCCUGACUUGGGACAGGCACAUACAUAAAUAAUGUGGCGGGGUUAAACAUGUUAGCGGGAUCCCAACCCUCCCCCUAACCUGGGACAGUGGUAUAACAGUACAACAUAAGAACGAACUAUAAAAAUCAGUUGAAAAAGGCUUAACUCAUCAGGUGGACA